CAUCUGUAUGCAAAAGUUACAAUAAGCUACUCAGUGCUGAUCUCUUUCUCUCCACAGAUUUCAGAAUUUUUUUCUGAAAUCAGGAUAGACUGGCAACAAAACCAACAGCAAGAGGUAGUUCCCUUUUGCCCCUCCCUCCAAUUAAUAGUUUAUUUCUUCGGUAAGCCCCAUGCUGGGAAUGGCUGUGCUAUGAUAUGAUUUUGGCACAGAGCUUCACACCAAUCCUAUUCAAGUAUGACAAAAACCAAUUCCCUCCUUGGCUGACAAAUAUCAAGGAAACUUCUAGAACCACACCAGUUUUGAGCAAGUAGACAGAAGAAAUAAUAAUAAUAAUGAUGAUGCUAAUAAUAACAACAACCAUCAUCAUCCUCUUCCUCCUCUCAUUUGCCUUAUUUACUUUGUAAGUAAAGAGAUAAAUAGAAACUUCAGUCUUUUUACUUUUAAACUUUACUGGGAACAAGUAUUUUCAAUAACAACUAGAGAAAACUAUUAAAGGGAAUUGUCAGAGAGUAGAAUCUGACUGGAUAUAAACACACUAAAUAUAUACACUAAAUACACUUUCUUUAAACAAACAAACAACCCCCCCAAAUCUGGGAUUUGAAAAAUAUUGCUUUCUUAUGAUUUAGCUUGAAUAGAGAUGAUUAUACUAAAAAACAACAAACCAAAACAAGACUACUAACUAGUGACAGAAUUUUUAUGUGUGUGUUGUAUUUCUACUCCUUGAAAGCAAACAAAGCUUUUUUUCUCAAUGAACAGACAGGUCUUUUCAAACACUCUAAAUUACUUGUCAUUUCAAGCAGGCCCUGAUAUUGUUACUUUAAAACAUUUCAACUCCUAUGUCAUACAGACAUAGAGAAUAUUCAUGCCUUGAUAUUUAUGUUGCAUAACAUUUUCCAUUUUAGGUCAUUAUGAAGUUCUUCACAAACUCUGUCAACCUUUAACUGUUCUUUCUGACAAGAAGCUUCCUGCUCCAGGUACCCAGGAAGGUUGUCCAUACCCCCAAGUUUUUACUUGAGAAAUAUCAGCAAAAUCCUCUUAACUCAUCUCUGCCUCCCCUGAAUGGUUAAGUGCAAUACAGAUGUUUAGCUGAAGAUGUGAGACUGAAGACUGAUUUUGCUGCUGUUAAUCACUGAAGAGACAUUAUCAACAGGAAAACAUGUGCCAGACAGGAUGAAUGUACCAUGGUACUCCUGUAGUAUUAAUAUAAAUGAAUUUU